UAAGGAAUCUUCCACAAUGGGCGAAAGCCUGAUGGAGCAACACCGCGUGAAGGAUGAAGGCCCUCGGGUUGUAAACUUCUUUUAUGAGCGAAGAAUAUGACGGUAACUCAUGAAUAAGGGUCGGCUAACUACGUGCCAGCAGCCGCGGUCAUACGUAGGACCCAAGCGUUAUCCGGAGUGACUGGGCGUAAAGAGUUGCGUAGGCGGUCUGUAAAGCGAAUAGUGAAAUCUGGUGGCUCAACCAUCAUCCCAUUGUUCGAACUCACAGACUCGAGAGUGGUAGAGGUAGCUGGAAUUUCUUGUGUAGGAGUGAAAUCCGUAGAUAUAAGAAGGAACACCAAUGGCGUAGGCAGGCUACUGGACCAUUUCUGACGCUGAGGCACGAAAGCGUGGGGAGCGAACCGG
rnacentral:rRNA from 1 species